CUACCGUGGGUAUACCCCAAGGUAGACUGCCGACCAGCUUUCGUCGACAGUGGCGCGCCAGGUAGGGGGUGUGCGUACAGCUCUCCCGACGAACAAGAUGGCCAUCAUCCCUGACUUCGCGGCCAUGGCGGGCGACUUCACGUUCACCGUCAGCUUCAACAACUUCACCGCCAUGACCACGGAGGAGGUGUAGAUCCGAUCUGCGCCAACCACUUCUUCAUCGACGUCGGCGGCGGCUUCAACCACGCUGGCUACGACUCCGACUACUCCAGCAACAUCUCCGACCACGCCGACAACGCGUCACCCGCUUCCCUGCUACAAAGGGAGGCAGAUCGACAACACCGACCUGCUCGGGCCAUCGACCAAAUUGUUUGGCCUACUUGCUCUGACCACCAGUCGCAAUAAUAAUUGCCGCGAAGAACGACGCUACGACAACAGCGACCACCGUCAUGACAAGUCGAAAAGCUCGAGGGCCGGACAAUUUUGUCGUCACCGACUAGACUUUCAUCCAAAGAUAAGUACACUUCUAAUAUCUUAUUUAUUUUUGGCAUAAUAUUUUUUAUCCUUGAAAAACAACUUUUUGUUUAGCCACACUAGUUUUUUCUCCUACACGAGCUUUCCAGAGCCGGUACUGUCUCCGACUCCUCCCUACACGUGCACGAGAUCCGCCCUCUGCGUUCCGGGUGGUCAGCAGUAGCUCUCUGGCGAUGCUGGCAAUCCCACGCGUGUCUAGGUUCCGCACCUCAUGCUGAUUGUUGGCUAGACCAGAGCUGGUACAAGCUCUAGGAUGAAUUAACUACUUGUGCUAAUUUUAUAACAAAAAAUCUAAAACUUAUCUCAGUACUGAUUUUUAUCUAAAGUUUAUUUAUACAUCAUGUACUACCUAUUCUUUAUAUUUAUUUUUCAGGGGUUUGGCCCAGUCGACAAGCUACGCUCGGGGACUCGUCGACUAUUCCCUACGCUGUGCCCGGGGACUGCUCCGACCACCGAGCACGUUUACGUUCCCAACCACGCUCGGGGACUUGUCGACUACUCUCUAUGCUGUGCUCGAAGACUGUGCCGACCACCGAGCACGUUUACGUUCCCAACCACGCUCGGGGACUUGUCCACCGGUCCCUACGCUGUGCUCGGGGACUGUGCCGACCACCGAGCACUAUACGCUCGGGGACUGGUCGACCAGCUCACCAAUUUAUAAACUUGGGGACUGCACCGACCACCGAGCACUAUACGCUCGGGGACUGGUCGACCAGCCCACCAAUUUGAGAAUUUGGGGACUGUACCGACCACCGAGCGUUAUAUGCUCGGAGACUGGUCGAUUAGUCUAUUCAAUUGCAGACGAGCAUGAUAUGCUCAGGGACUGGUAAAUUCAAUUUUUUAGACCUUGCUACAAGGCUCAUACUUCGCCUUCCAGCAAGCUCGGGGACUACAUCGGUACGAUGCAUCUGGCGAUGCAUCUCAGUUACAGAAUUUCUUUGAGGACUUUUAUUUUGACCCUGGCACCACGUGCCUACGUCACCUACUACCAGGCUCGGGGACUAAGUGGGCACACUUCACCUUGCGGUGAAUAUGCUUGCUAUUUUGAGGUCUAUACUUUUCAUAAAAGUAAAGUGGGCACACUUCAACAGGUAAGAAAUCUUUUUUAAUUAAGAGCACCAUGCAUUCUUCGAACAACCUGCUUCUUCGAUGUCAAUGUUGAUCAACUAUCUUUUGAGUUGGUCAAAAUACCGUUGCAACUGUUCGGGCGACUUUCCUGCUUAUUGAAGACGUCAAGCCUCACUGAUCGAAGAAGCUCAAGACGGCGUGUUACAUCACAAUACAUGGUGCUCGGGGACUAGCUGUGGGGGGAUAAACCCCUAUACCCUUACGGCUAGACUUCGGCCAGGAAGCUUGGCCCAUUACGAGACGAGUUCAAGGCUUGAUCCGACAACCUGGAGUUUCGCGCAAGGAAACAAGAUGUGGAGAUCAAGCAGGAUUCUAGUCGGUUAGAAUAGGAAUUGAUAUCAAAUUAUCCGUGGCAAUUGUAACCGACUAGGAUUAGUUUCCAGAUCUGUAACCCUGCCCUCCAGACUAUAUAAGGAGGGGCAAGGGACCCCCCUAGGGCACAUCACAUCACAUCAUAUUCUCUCAACACAAAUCAAUACAACCAGACGCAGGACGUAGGUAUUACGCCAACUCGGCGGCCGAACCUGGAUAAAAAGCUUGUCCGUGUCUUGCGUCACCAUUGAGUUCGUAGUUUGCGCACCGUCUACCGAUAAACUACUACCGUGGGUAUACCCCAAGGUAGACUGCCGACCAGCUUUCGUCGACAUAUCCAUGUUAUUCCCCGUGAAAUAAAUGCUCGAGAUAUUUUGGUUACUACCACUUGUUACAUUAUUCCAGGAGGGUGAGUGCUCUGAAAAAAAAGGGGCAAGUGCCCGAAACCUCGAAAAAAAGAAGAAGAAAAAAAAGAGAAAAAGUGAGGCGAGAGGUAAAAAUAGACAAGUGUCCGACAGUAGAAUUAGGGGUACAAGAUACCCACCUGAGAGAAAAGAAAAAUAAAACAUAGAGUGUCUUAUUCCCCUCAAAAUCCUCAAGUGCAAGAAAGGUAUGUACCCCCUCAAAAGAGCAAAAGUAGAAUUAGACUUUCACCAUUAUUUUCACAAUUAUCACCAUUCAUUCGCCACACAUGCACAUCUUGAUUUGACUUAUUGACUUGUUCUUCUGGAUCCAUGGUUUGACUAUGCAAUAAAUGUCUUGUAAGUAUGUAUACUUUAUCUCCCACCAAUGAGCUCUAGAUAUAAAAACCUUAUUAGAGUUGGGUGAGAGAGAAGGCAAUGUCACUAUGCCUCAUACCAAAAAUACCACAUACCUUGAGAGAAGGCAUAUACCAUUACUGCCUUGGUAAGGAUCUAGAAAUACCACAAAAGAGAGACUAGAGAGAGUCAUAUAACGAAUCUAUGAGUUUUAUUUGAAAAUCUGCAAAAACUCCAGAGCUAUAGUUAAUCGAAGAACAAGAGAUAUGGCGCUUGAAUAGACCGUUCUAUCUUUUAACUGCUCAAGACAUAAGUGACGGUUGCAAGCCCCAUGGUGGAAGGUAAAAUAAGUAAGUUUAAAUCUUAACAGUUUACCCUAACCUAGAGAUG
rnacentral:lncRNA from 1 species